CCCCCCCCCCCCCCAAUCCUCCCUGUGUUUGGCAGAGCCAAUCCUGGGAUGGCGUCGUGCUCUGAGGCCUUUUCUGGAUGAGGCUAUGCUAAAGAACAAUGUUAGCGACUGUCUAUCACGACACGCUAAAGAUAUCCUGGAUCUGCCCUGCUGGGGCUCGCGUGGGAGCAGGUUCCCCACCGAAGCAAAAGCCGGACCUCCCGUACGCAAACAAUCUGGACUCCCUCAGGAAGCCUCAUGUGGGUGUCUUCGAAUUAGCAUUCUGGGCUGAUUUUUUUUGAACCACCAACAUGGAAUUAUUUCACUUUUAGUUCCAUCAAAAUACUUUUUUUUCGCAUGAUGUCACCCGCUGCAUUUGGGCGGUAUUUAAAUAGAAAAAUCGUGCUCUGUAUGCUCUUUGAUAGAACAACCAGUUCAAGGAAAGAGUCUGAGAGAGUUGUGCCAAUGUACAUUCGACGUUAUUACCUUUCUUCUUCUUCUCGUUCUUCUUCUCGUCAAAUUUUACAGGGGAAAUGUUAUGCUGUUUAGAAAUGUAAUGCUAUGCAAUAUUUAGCUGUAUAAAAUACGAGUAUAAUUCAGGUUUCAGGUGCAGUCAAUUUCCUUUUCAGACUCAAUGACAAAUUUCAGAGAAUGAUCUUUCUCUUCUCUGUACAUCAGCAGUGUAUGUACCAAGACUAAAACUAAUGGAGUUUCUAAAUGCAGUGUUAUUGCUUUGGGGUGGCAUUGUCAAAUUGCUUAGGACAGAAGGUUACUCUACUGUUUUACUGAGAUACUUCACCUGAAGUUCUUCUGUUGUCUAAAAGUACAAUAAUGUAAAAUUUGACUCACAUUGGAUAAGGGUAUCCAUUAAUAUAGUGUAAAGGUGUUUGUUAUUUUGACGUCCCAGAAAGUAAAAUUAAAUUUAAAGAUACAUGCUAAUCAAUCAAUUUUUAUGUUGUUAUCCUCUGAAAAACCAGAUAUUUGUCAUGCAUAUAAAAUCUAAUUUUCUCACCUCAGACAGGCACUUUAGCCACAGGAGGAGGCAGAGGGAGCAGGAGAAUGUUUAAAAUGAGGGCAUUACUUCUCAAUUAGUCCCUCAGCAACCCUCAUUAGUUUCAAUGAUGUUGACACAAACAAACCCAGCAUGCUGGCCCCGCUUCUCCGCUGAGGUCAUCGCUACGGCAACUUCCCUGAGUCAGAGACAGUGGCUGGCUCGGCAUCAUUUUUGCUGGAGGGGUUAGCUGGCCAGGAAGAAGAGGAGCAGCAUGAUCUCUGGCAUGUUUGAGAAAGAGGCCGUCCCUUUUACUCCAAGGUGAUCACCUUCAGUCCCAACCGUCAGGCCUCAUCAACCAGCGAAAAGGUGCCAGUGACUUCUGACGUUCUCGUUAUUGUCAGACAGAUACUCGUCAGGAACGCGGGAUGACCAGUGAAAAUGAGCAGCAGUGUUCCAAACUACUGUACCUGCGCCAGAAUCCAUAUUGAUUCUAGAGCAGGGGUGAGGAACUGAGAGAAAUUUAAUGCGCAGAGAUUAGCAUGUAUCAGAGAUUUAGGCAAAGCAAAUCCUUGGCAAUGUUAGCCAGCCGCUAACAUGUCAAACUAUGAAAAUAAAGUAAGAUGGAGGAAUUCACUAAAUGCACACAAGGAGAUAAGGGGACACAUUCAAUCCAGCACCCAUAAGGUUUUAUUGUGAAAAUUAAAUUAGUACUAAUUGUG